rnacentral:rRNA from 1 species
GGCGUAAAGGGAGCGUAGGCGGCGUGACAAGUCACUUGUGAAAUCUCCGGGCUUAACUCGGAGCUGCCAAGUGAUACUGUUGUGCUAGAGUGCAGAAGGGGCAAUCGGAAUUCUUGGUGUAGCGGUGAAAUGCGUAGAUAUCAAGAGGAACACCUGAGGCGAAGGCGGAUUGCUGGGCUGACACUGACGCUGAGGCUCGAAAGCUAGGGGAGCAAACGGGAUUAGAUACCCCGGUAGUCCUAGCCCUAAACGAUGAAUACUUGGUGUCUGGAGCUUCAAUUCUCCGGGUGCCGUCGCUAACGUUUUAAGUAUUCCGCCUGGGGAGUACGUACGCAAGUAUGAAACUCAAAGGAAUUGACGGGGACCCGCACAAGCGGUGGAGCAUGAGGUUUAAUUCGACGCAACGCGAAGAACCUUACCUGGACUAGAAUGCGAGGGAAG